rnacentral:lncRNA from 1 species
UCUGACGUGGAUGCAAAGUAGAGGUCUGUACAUCCAAGCCUAUAUGAAGGUUUAAUCCAGAUAAAUUGAGAUUUGAUCUCUGGUUCUGCUGCUAAUUAGGUAGGAUUUGAUCCUUAAUCAUGUAGAUGAAUAAAAAAUUUUUAGAUGCAAUUUGGGCCUUCCUAGGAGAAAUAGUUUCUUUUCCUUCACUAGCUCCACCCCUCAUACUGAGCCUUCAUCACCCUACUCUAAAAAUAGUCUGGCUGGAUGAGGAA